UAGGGAAUCUUCGGCAAUGGGGGGAACCCUGACCGAGCAACGCCGCGUGAGUGAAGAAGGUUUUCGGAUCGUAAAGCUCUGUUGUUAAGGAAGAACGAGUGUGAGAAUGGAAAGUUCAUGCUGUGACGGUACUUAACCAGAAAGGGACGGCUAACUACGUGCCAGCAGCCGCGGUAAUACGUAGGUCCCGAACGUUGUCCGGAUUUAUUGGGCGUAAAGCGAGCGCAGGCGGUUAGAAAAGUCUGAAGUGAAAGGCAGUGGCUCAACCAUUGUAGGCUUUGGAAACUGUUUAACUUGAGUGCAGAAGGGGAGAGUGGAAUUCCAUGUGUAGCGGUGAAAUGCGUAGAUAUAUGGAGGAACACCGGUAGCGAAAGCGGCUCUCUGGUCUGUAACUGACGCUGAGGCUCGAAAGCGUGGGGAGCGAACAGG
rnacentral:rRNA from 1 species